ACCAUUUGAAGCUAAGAUACAAAAAUCGUGACCUCAACACUUCUACCCUUGAAUCCUGACUAUUGGAGAAACAGCACCAUAUUUUGGAUACUGAUUCAGACCAUAUACAGCCUUCUGGAGAAUCUUGCCCCAGUCCUGAAAGGUUUUGGUAUCAGGAUGAUGCUGGCAUCAUAAAAUGAGUAUUUUUCUUCAGACUUCAGACUGCUGUGCUGGAAGCAAGAAUUUCAAGCAUUGGAUCUUAGCUUGCUGGGCUCCAUAGGGGUGGGAUCCACUGAGCUAGACCACUUGGCUCCCUGGCUUCAGCCCCCUUCCAGAUGUCCUUGGCGUGUACACCCUGUGGAAUCUGGUUCAUCUUCAAUCUGUCAGAAGGCAUCAGAGGUGGUUUUGACUCCUUAUGUCUUGGACCUGUGCACAAAAAGUACGGGCAGGAGAGGAUGCAGGAGACUGUACAAAGUUCAAGAAACGAUAUGCUUUAAUCAAGGUAAAAUGGAUGGAACAUCAGACAGCUCAUUAUAGAGACAAGUAAGCUCCAGUUCCAAAGUUGGUUGACAGAACAAGUCAUGACCUUGUGUGGAGGAAAAUGAGAUCCCGAGUGAAGUCUACAAUGUCAUUGACUCUGAAGAAGGACUCAGAGACCCAUUGGUGUUUAAUGACCCUUACUGGCCUAUGCAAUGGAAACUGAAUUUCAGUUGCUGCUGGCUGGCAGCCAUUCUUGAAGGAGAGAAGAGAGUUGUGCUGGCAGGCGAAUGAAUUUGUCCUACAUGUCCUCUCCAGCAGAAUGUCAUGUGGGGUCAACUUCUAGUCCCAAGUUUGAUAUCAUCUGAUGAAUUCCUCUGUACAGAUAUUCUGAUUCUUCCAUGUUAUUGUAUGGAGCUGCUUCAUAGAUCUUCGGUUAUGUGGACAUUUGUAUAUCUACCAUUUUUCCAUGCCCAAACAGAUUCUGGAUGAAUCUGUUUUUAAAAAACUAUCUGGGAUCACCAAUUAAAUGAUUUUCCUG